AUACUCUGUUUGGUUGUUAAGUGGAUUAUUGGAACGAAAAUUCUUGCUUUGUCAAUUCCUAUUAGCUAAAAUAACUAAGAAGAUUGAUUCAAGUGGUUGACUGUAACCUUGCGUUCUCAUUGUUGCCAAAUAAAAUAAUGGUAAAUUGUCAACUUUUUCAGAGUUAUCUUGGCAACAACAAAAAGAAUUACUAGUUUUAAGGAACUAAGCCUCGUUACCUAGGAAUUACUAGAUUCUCCCAUGACAAUAAAGAGAAUGCCAUUUAUGCUACUUACUAAAUAGCAAUCAGUUUGAUAAUGCUUAUCUUAUAACUUCUUUUAUUUUUUAGUUUAUUUUGUCAUUUUAUUCCUUUAGAUUUUGCUAUUUUCUUGGAUAUGGUGUGACCAUCACUAAGGGAAGAUACAGGAUCCUGUGCACUAUAAUGUACAUCGUGUAUAUUUGUUCAGUGUUCACACAGAUUGUAUCUCAUAUCGUUUCUCCUUAAUCGCUAAUUAAAACUUUGAAAUUGAUAAUUUUGUUUUGAAAGCAAUGGAGAUUUUAGUUUCUCUGCUUUUAUGAGGCUAAAAUUUUCAAGUUAUUUUGUAUUCAUCGAAUAAGAGUUUUUGAUUAAAGAUAUAAAUGAUAACAAUAAGUGUGUUCCUUUUUACCUUUUCUCUUUGUUUGG
rnacentral:misc_RNA from 1 species